AGCGAACGCUGGCGGCAGGCCUAACACAUGCAAGUCGAGCGCCCCGCAAGGGGAGCGGCAGACGGGAGAGUAACACGUGGGAACGUACCCUUCGGUUCGGAACAACCCAGGGAAACUUGGGCUAAUACCGGAUACGUCCGAAAGGAGAAAGAUUUAUCGCCGAGGGAUCGGCCCGCGUCUGAUUAGCUAGUUGGUGGGGUAACGGCCCACCAAGGCGACGAUCAGUAGCUGGUCUGAGAGGAUGAUCAGCCUCACUGGGACUGAGACACGGCCCAGACUCCUACGGGAGGCAGCAGUGGGGAAUAUUGGACAAUGGGCGCAAGCCUGAUCCAGCCAUGCCGCGUGGGUGAUGAAGGCCCUAGGGUUGUAAAGCCCUUUCGGCGGGGAAGAUAAUGACGGUACCCGCAGAAGAAGCCCCGGCUAACUUCGUGCCAGCCGCCGCCGUAACAC
rnacentral:rRNA from 1 species